rnacentral:tRNA from 1 species
GGGUGUGGUUCAGUGGUAGAACAGCGGUCUCCAAAACCGUUGAUGAGGGUUCGAUUCCUUCCACCC